rnacentral:rRNA from 1 species
GAUGAACGCUAGCGGGAGGCUUAAUACAUGCAAGUCGAGGGUGAAGCUAUUUUCGGAUGGUGGAAACCGGCGCACGGGUGAGUAACGCGUACACUACCUACCUCAUACUGGGGAAUAGCCUUUGGAAACGAAGAGUAAUACCCCAUAGUUCCCGAUGUAUUUCGGGAUAAAGUUCCGGCGGUAUGAGAUGGGUGUGCGUCCCAUUAGCUAGUUGGUAGGGUAAAGGCCUACCAAGGCAACGAUGGGUAGGGGGCGUGAGAGCGUGAUCCCCCACACGGGUACUGAGACACGGACCCGACGACUACGGUCGGCAGCAGUAAGGAAUAUUGGACAAUGGGCGAAAGCCUGAUCCAGCCAUCCCGCGUGUAGGAUGACAGCCCUACGGGUCGUAAACUACUUUUGCUUGGGAAGAAACCCCUGGAUUUACUCCGGGGCUGACGGUACCUUGCGAAUAAGCACCGGCUAACUCCGUG